rnacentral:rRNA from 1 species
UACAGAGGGUGCGAGCGUUAAUCGGAAUUACUGGGCGUAAAGCGCGCGUAGGCGGCUUUGCAAGUGACGGGUGAAAUCCCUCGGCUUAACCGAGGAACUGCCUGUCAGACUGGAUGGCUUGAGACCGGGAGAGGUGAGUGGAAUUCCCAGUGUAGCGGUGAAAUGCGUAGAUAUUGGGAGGAACACCAGUGGCGAAGGCGGCUCACUGGACCGGAACUGACGCUGAGGCGCGAAAGCGUGGGGAGCAAACAGG